rnacentral:rRNA from 1 species
UACGUAGGGUCCGAGCGUUGUCCGGAAUUACUGGGCGUAAAGCGUGCGCAGGCGGCCUUCCAAGCGGCAUGUGAAAUCCCCGGGCUUAACCUGGGAACUGCAUUUGUGACUGCAUCGCUGGAGUGCGGCAGAGGGGGAUGGAAUUCCGCGUGUAGCAGUGAAAUGCGUAGAUAUGCGGAGGAACACCGAUGGCGAAGGCAAUCCCCUGGGCCUGCACUGACGCUCAUGCACGAAAGCGUGGGGAGCAAACAGG